rnacentral:lncRNA from 1 species
AUCAGUAAUUUGACAGUAAGCUUCUUCCUGGUCCAUAGCACAUGAGUCUUAAUUUGGAUUAUAGAUUUGUUAUAGUCUACCUGUCCAUAAUCAGUCAAGUUUUCAGGAAAUGAUAGCCCUGUUUAGAAAUACAAGUCAGUACUUCUGCAAUAUACUGCUUUUUUGGCAGAAUUUGAAGUUUUAUCCAGGAUUAUGAGCAACGAUUACUAUUAUUUUUAGAAGUAGUAGUAGAAUAAAACACUUUGUUUUGUUUUGUUUUCUUCUGUUUUGUUUUCCAGUGUUUGUUUUCUUGAUCCGUAUACCUUUGGCAAAAUAUGUUCAGUUUUUUGUUCAUGGAGCAACAGGCUGAUGUCCAAGGAUCUUUGCCUUUAUACUUAGGGCAGUCAGAAGUGGCCACUGAGCAUGACAGUACCAUUCUGCAUCAAUGACUUCUCCAUUAUUCAAGGUGCUCUGCUUGAGAGACACAGGCAUAAUCUUUUGCCAGUUUUCCAAGUGAAAUUUUAUGGGUACAGAUGCAAGCACACUGGAGAAAAGAGAAGAGGAAAGCAGAGUUUCUUAACACGUCCAGAUUUUUUAGAAUACCAGACAAUGUCUACUAAAAAGAAAUUCUCUGUAGAAGAAUGAGACAAAGUAUACAAGAGAAAUAAUAGCAGCUAGAUGCAACAAACCUGUGCCUACAGCAGUGGGAGGAGGGCUCUACAUCCCUGGUUUGAUUUAAAGAGCUUUUGAUCUUGUAUAUUCCAGCAGAUCUGAAGGAUCCAUCUGCAGGGUGAGUAUUGCUUCAGGAGUCUAGAGUGAGGUUCUGUUAAGCCAAAGUUGUCUCUUUGAUUCCACAAUGGAAUUUCCAGUUUAUCUGCAGUCUUUAAAGGUUUAGCCCUAAGUAUCUUACGUUGUAUUUGUUUUUUCCUGAAUGUUAAUAUAUUUCAUGAGUUUUGAGAUGCAGUUGCCCUAACUUCAAGGAUGGAAAACAAACUACCUUGCUGCCUUUUCAUCUUCAUCCUUCAGCAUGUUUGAUCAUAUCAUUUUCUACCACCACACCAGCAACUGCUAUAAACCGCUCAGUCCUACCCUGUAAAAACUAGAAUAUUUCAAAUUUUAGUAUCCUUUUUUAUCCUAUGCUCCAGACUGGUAGAGUAAACAUUACCAGCAUGGCCUGUCAUUGGUAACUAGCCUGUCAGAUAAUAGCUUCCCUGCCAGCUCUCAAAGGCUUCUGCCAGUCUGUGAUAUCACCUUAUCUUCACCGUUGUUAUUCCCCAUGGCUUUCCCACUUGUGAUUUAAUUUCAAGUAGCCUGAACAGAAUAAUAUCAAACAGAAGAUAGAGAAACCCUCGAUGCUCAUUAGGAAAACAUGAAUAUUUCAUUUAUUCUCCUCAGCAUGACCUUAUCACUUUUCUGGAAGUACUGUAGAAACUCAUGUGGAGCAGAUCACCAGUUCUGCUCCAAAUACUGUCCAAUCCAGCCACUUAAUGUAAUUUCCAUUCCCAUUCUCUUUGCAUACUGAAGAGUUUCAUGCCUCUGAUCACCAUUUCCAUUUUCAUUUAGUUGCCUCUUUUUUACCUUUUAAUUGACUAGUGUGUGGUUUUGACAGCUAGAGAAUAGUUUGACUCCACCAGGGCGUACCCCUCAUACACUUGACCCGUAAGGCACUUCUGUGAAACAGAUGCCAUGAAAGCAGUUUGUUGUUGAUCCAAGUCCAAGAAAUAAACAUGCUGUUCCAUACA